rnacentral:rRNA from 1 species
GACGAACGCUGGCGGCGUGCUUAACACAUGCAAGUCGAACGGAAAGGCCUGCUUUCCCUUGUGGAUUGCGGGUACUCGAGUGGCGAACGGGUGAGUAACACGUGAGUGAUCUGCCCCCAACUUGGGUAUAAGCCUGGGAAACUGGGUCUAAUUCCCGAUAGGACUGCAGGGUGGUGCCUGUGGUGGAAAACGAUUUUCUAGUGGUUGGGGAUGAGCUCGCGGCCUAUCAGCUUGUUGGUGGGGUAAUGGCCUACCAAGGCGGCGACGGGUAGCCGGCCUGAGAGGGUGGACGGCCACAUUGGGACUGAGAUACGGCCCAGACUCCUACGGGAGGCAGCAGUGGGGAAUAUUACACAAUGGGCGGAAGCCUGAUGCAGCGACGCAGCGUGGGGGAUGACGGCCUUCGGGUUGUAAACUCCUUUCGACCGCGAGGAAGCCACCUGGUUGGAAGGGUGGUGACGGUAGUGGUAGAAGAAGCACCGGCUAACUACGUG